UUUUUCUAUUAUUUUCAUGGUAUCCAGUAUUAGUCGGUAGUAUAUUCAAAUCAAAUCCAACCCAAAACCAAAAGCUUCUCUCUUUUUGCAUCAUUUCAUUUUAAAUUUCAAAGCUUUCAAUUUGUCCAUGCUAUCAAUAUCACCAUUUUUCUAUGUUUCUUGGUUAGAGCUUAUUGCUUUUAGUGUUAAACUGCUUGAGGACUUCAGAAGAUUAGGCGGCUUUCAUCAGAAGAGUAGAGAGCGAGAAGGCGCCAGAAGAAGGGGGCCAACCAAAGCGCGGGGCUGCGAGUGCGAGUCGGCCAGGUUUUCUUGUUAAGUCUUUACUGAAAUUAUUCAAAUAUCCUCACUUAAUGGGUGCUAUCGGAUGCUAAUAGGUUUCGUUGGUUGAUCCAAGAUAACCCAUUAUUUAACGGAUGAGUAACGGAUUCACCCGUUAAUAACCCGACCCAUUAAGCAUCUACCGGAAUACUAAUUUAAGCGGAUGGAUGGGUCGGGUGUAAAAUCCUUCCAACCCGAUUAUUCUGAUGUCCUUCUCGAUGUUGAGUUUCUUGUAAUUACUGAGCUUUUUUUGUGAGCCAUAAACUUGCCCCAAUUUUAAGGCCUAUGCUAUACUUGGCAGGGUUCUGGUCACUAAUGAGCUUCUUCAAUGGCUGGAUUUGGGUGGUGUGAUUGUUUGAGGAAGUAAGAAAUCGAAAACCUAUCAUUCUCGGAUUU